GGUGUUUUGGCCGAGUGGACGAAGGCGUAGGUUUCAAGAAAUUGUUCUUACACAGCUGUGUGUACUCCUAUCUCACAAGCACCUGGGUUCGAAUCCCAGAGACACCA
rnacentral:tRNA from 1 species